CAAUAGCGUAUAUUAAAGUUGUUGCGGUUAAAAAGCUCGUAGUUGGAUUUCUGUUGAGAGCAGCCGGUCUGCACUUGGUGCAUGUAUCUGGUUUGAUCUCGGCAUCCUCUCAAAAUACGUUUCUGCGCUUGAUUGCGUGGAGCGGAGUUUGGGACUUUUACUUUGAGGAAAUUAGAGUGUUCACGGCAGGCAAUCGCCUUGAAUAUAUUAGCAUGGAAUAAUAAUAUAGGAUCUUGGUUCUAUUUUGUUGGUUUCUAGAGCUAAGAUAAUGAUUAAUAGGGACAAUUGGGGGCAUUCGUAUUAACGCGUCAGAGGUGGAAUUCUUGGAUUGCGUUGCGACAAACUACUGCGAAAGCAUUUGCCAAGGAUGUUUUCAUUGA
rnacentral:rRNA from 1 species